GAUGAACGCUAGCGGGAGGCCUAACACAUGCAAGCCGAGCGGUAUUUGUUCUUCGGAACAGAGAGAGCGGCGCACGGGUGCGGAACACGUGUGCAACCUGCCUUUAUCUGGGGGAUAGCCUUUCGAAAGGAAGAUUAAUACCCCAUAAUAUAUUGAGUGGCAUCAUUUGAUAUUGAAAACUCCGGUGGAUAGAGAUGGGCACGCGCAAGAUUAGAUAGUUGGUGAGGUAACGGCUCACCAAGUCAAUGAUCUUUAGGGGGCCUGAGAGGGUGAUCCCCCACACUGGUACUGAGACACGGACCAGACUCCUACGGGAGGCAGCAGUGAGGAAUAUUGGACAAUGGGUUAGCGCCUGAUCCAGCCAUCCCGCGUGAAGGACGACGGCCCUAUGGGUUGGAAACUUCUUUUGUAUAGGGAUAAACCUACUCUCGUGAGAGUAGCUGAAGGUACUAUACGAAUAAGCACCGGCUAACUCCGU
rnacentral:rRNA from 1 species